AUACAUAUCUCUACCCCUUUAGCUUGUGGCCUUUACCGAAAUAUCCUAUUACAGAGGACAGGACAAGUGAAUACACAUACAACGGUAAAACAUUAAAGAAGAUUAAGAAAGUCGAGAAAAACAAGAGAUGAAUUUGAUUAUUUACUUAUAAGUGUCUAAUAUAUUAAGUGGCAGACAGCGUAAUGUGAUAGGAUUAAUAAACUCAUAAAAAUUACUGAUUAACAUUGAAGACAUUAACAAUUUUUUUUAAAUACUUUUUUAUAUUAAUAUAACAAAAUUAGCUAUUGUAUGCUACAAAAAUGUAUCGUAAUAUUAUGUAUCUUUAAUCUUAGUGCCAUAGAAGCGAUUUAAAGAAAAAUGUAAAGUCUAGUGCUACAUUUUUGUAUUUACAUAAUAAAGGUAGUUUGUUUGUCUGUUUGUAAACAAACAUUCGAAUUACAAUGUUAUUUCGAUCCAUUACAUAGAUUCCUACAUGAAGAGAUAAGAAGAACUGCCUCUAAAUCUAAAAGCGUCUAUCAAAAGCCGUACGUACAUAGGUAGCGCUGCGGUAACCAACAACAAAUUGAAAUUAAACUUUUGACAACAGAUGGCGCUACUAUCGUUGAAGGGUACAUUUAAACUAAAGAAAUUAAAAAAAAUCGUAAUAAAAAUGGUUUCUACAAUUAUUAAUAUAUUUGCGCUUCUAGGCGAAUUUAUUUACUUGUCUAUAUUCUAUUUUGAACAGUUUUAUAACUUACCUACUUUAGUCAUAAAAAAUAUUACAGUUUCAAUGAGUCGUUCAACUCACUGAAAUUCAUUUUAAAUAUGCUCACUCAGUAUACUUAAUUCCCUUCAUAACAGCUAAGUUCAUAUCCUAGUUUAUCAAGCCAGCUCCUUUCUGAAGAAAUUUUCAUAUUUUAUUGUUGUGUCUUAUCGAUGAACACUUUGUCAACUGAUGUCCAAUAUAAUACGGUUCUCCUUAUCCCUACUUUCCAUAGUUUGUAAAUAACACAUUUAUUUUGACUUUAUUUACAACGAAUUAUCUGUACACAACUAUUUAGGUGUUAUGUAGUAGUAAUUUUUAUACAGAAUGCUGUAAUUAAUUGAUAAGUGUAAAUAAGUAUUAAAGAAGGAAAUUAAGAAA